rnacentral:rRNA from 1 species
UGCCCGGGCGUUAAUCAGACGUCUGUCCGCCAGAAAAUUACGGGCGAAAGCCUAAAACUCAAAAGACUUGACGGUGUCCUAAUCUACCUAGAGGAGCCUGUUCCAUAAUCGAUAACCCCCGAUAAACCCGACCACCCUUUGAAAUACUUCAGCCUAUAUACCGCCGUCGACAGCCCACCUUUUAAAAGAACAAAAGUAGGCUAAAUAGAUAACCCCUAAAAAGUCAGGUCAAGGUGUAGCUAAUAAGGUGGAGACAAUGGGCUACAUUUUUUAAAAUAAAAUAUCACGGACCAGUACUUUGAAACAAAACUGUAAAGGUGGAUUUAGCAGUAAGCUAAAAAGAAUGCCUAGCUUAACAUAGCCCUAGGACACGUACAC